rnacentral:lncRNA from 1 species
AGUGGGCUGUGUUGGUCAACAUGUCAGAGAGCUGCUGUGUGGGAGUCAGUGGUUAGUGGGCUGUGUUGGUCAACAUGUCAGAGAGCUGCUGUGUGGGAGCAGUGGUGGUGGGCUGUGUGGUCAACAUGUCAGAGAGCUGCUGUGUGAGGGGGUCAGUGGUGGGGGGCUGUGUUGGUCAACAUGUCAGAGAGCUGCUGUGAUGGAGUCAGUGGUGGGGGGCUGUGUUGGUCCAACUUCAGAGAGCUGCUGUGUGGGAGUCAGUGGUAGUGGGCUGUGUGGGUCAACAUGUCAGAGAGCUGCUUGAUGGGAGUCAGUGGUGGGGGGCUGUGUUGGUCAACAUGUCAGAGAGCUGCUGUGAUGGGAGUCAGUGGUGGGGGGCUGUGUUGGUCAACAUAUCAGAGAGCUGCUGUGAUGGGAGUCAGUGGUGGGGGCUGUGUUGGUCAACAUAUCAGGAGCUGCUGUGAGGAGUC